UGAGGAAUAUUGGGCAAUGCCCGCAAGGGUGACCCAGCAACGCCGCGUGGAGGAUGAAUGUCGUAAGAUUGUAAACUCCUGUUAGAGGGGAAGAAUAGUACCGGUUGGACCGGUAUAUGACUGUACCCUCAGAGAAAGCCCCGGCUAACUACGUGCCAGAAGCCGCGGUAAUACGUAGGGGGGAAGCGUUGUCCGGUUUUACUGGGUGUAAAGGGCGCGCAGGCGGGAUAAAAAGUCAGUGGUGAAAUCCUACAGCUUAACUGUAGUACUGCCUUUGAUACUUUUAUUCUUGAGUUCGGGAGAGAGAGACGGAAUUCCAGGUGUAGUGGUGAAAUACGUAGAUAUCUGGAAGAACACCAGUUGCGAAGGCGGUCUCUUGGUCCGACACUGACGCUGAGGCGCGAAAGC
rnacentral:rRNA from 1 species